rnacentral:rRNA from 1 species
CCCUUAGAUGUUCUGGGCGGCCCGCGCACUACAUUGGCACUGGCAACAAGAUCCUAGAUCUGAUAUUUCGGGGUAUUCUACCAACUGGUGUCGUGACUGGGAUUAACCCCUGCAAUUAUUGGUUAUGAACGAGGAAUUCCUUGUAAUCACGGUUUAUCAACCCGUGAUGAAUGCGUCCCUGCCCUUUGUACACACCGCCCGUCGCUCCUACCGAUGAAUCGUCCGGUGAAGUUCAUGGAGUCGCGGCUGCUCCAGCUGUUUUCGAAGUGAAAUGGACCUCAUGAUUUAGAGGAAGGAGAAGUCGUAACA